rnacentral:rRNA from 1 species
UGAGGAAUAUUGCGCAAUGGGGGCAACCCUGACGCAGCAACGCCGCGUGAGUGAGGAAGGUUUUCGGACCGUAAAGCUCUGUCGAGCGGGAAGAAAUGCAUGGUGGCUAAUAUCCAUCAUGCUUGACGGUACCGCUAGAGGAAGCACCGGCUAACUCCGUGCCAGCAGCCGCGGUAAUACGGGGGGUGCAAGCGUUGUUCGGAAUUAUUGGGCGUAAAGAGCGUGUAGGCGGCUGAAUAAGUCAGAUGUGAAAUCCCUGGGCUUAACCCAGGACGUGCAUUUGAAACUAUUCAGCUUGAGUAAGGGAGAGGAAAGUGGAAUUCCUGGUGUAGAGGUGAAAUUCGUAGAUAUCAGGAGGAACACCGGUGGCGAAGGCGACUUUCUGGCCCUAUACUGACGCUGAGACGCGAGAGCGUGGG